GUAAAAUCCCAAUUGACCUCGACGAUAAAUCUCCCGACUAACCCGAUGAAUUUCUCAGCGCAAAUAGCGUGAUCUCAAUCGGUAUUGGCGAUUUUCGAGGACAUCGAAAUUUCAGCCUUUUAUAUCGCAUCAAGGGCAUCUGCAGGAUACGUUAUUAUUCAGGAGACGUACAACAUCACCUGCCGAUCGUGAAAACUGCUACGGAAUCCACAUUACACAAACCACAUAAUAAGAACAUACAAGGAUUUGAUCAUAGGUUUCUUGCGUGGUGAUACUUGUUAUAUUCGACACCGUCUUCAUAUCAUUAAUAUCGAGAUGAAAACAAUAUUUGCAAAAGGUUAGUCAGUAAUUAACUAUAAAGUACAGCGAUACAGAUAUUGAGUAAAUCUCAAUUUUCACACAUACGAUCACCACAUUUUCUGCACAUAAUUCUUUAUAAUCACGUGAGAUAUCUGUAUGUGAUCAUUUUUUGACCCAAAGGUUUUAACUAUUUUUAUAUGUAUGUGUAAAUCUGUGCGAAAAAUGUCAGUAAUUGAAGAAUCGAUCGAUCACAUUAUUAUCGUUGUGCAUUAAGAUUAUUAUCAUCCUAGCCGAUUUAAUUACGGUCGGUUACGAAUGUAAUUCAAAAAAAAAAUCAUUGUUCUAUAAUUCACCGUUUAUCAUCGUUUCCAAAAUCUUACUAUCCAUUUAUACAUUAAUUCAGUUUUUUCCCUUUUCUUUUUCUUACUUUGAUACAUUUAAUUGCUGCUGAUUAAACAGUCAAAAUAUACAUAAAUUUUUUUCCACGUCAUU
rnacentral:misc_RNA from 1 species